UACGGGGGGGGCAAGCGUUGUUCGGAAUUACUGGGCGUAAAGGGUUCGUAGGUGGCCAACUAAGUCAGACGUGAAAUCCCUCAGCUUAACUGGGGAACUGCGUCUGAGACUGGCGAGCUUGAGUGCAGGAGAGGAACGCGGAAUUCCAGGUGUAGCGGUGAAAUGCGUAGAUAUCUGGAGGAACACCGGUGGCGAAGGCGGCGUUCUGGACUGCAACUGACACUGAAAAACGAAAGCCAGGGGAGCAAACGGG
rnacentral:rRNA from 1 species